rnacentral:lncRNA from 1 species
UCUCGAAAGCACUGCGACGGCUGCCGGCAGCGUGGUUGUUCCUUUGGCGAGUUGGUGUCUGGCGCACAGCGCGAACGUCUCAUGAGCAAGAAGCCGUAGAGACGAUGCUCUCAAUGUUGGACACCGAAGUGAGGCAACUCAUCGGGCACAACGCCAAAAUGUCCCUGUUGUGUCCAGCUCCUGGGUCACGCGUGUCGCGCCUUGACAGCCGUGACCUUGAACGACCUUGACCGGCCGGGCCGGGCCGAGCGGCCGAGGGUCAGUAUCGUCCGAGCGGCGCUGGUGUCAACACAGCUGAGUGCCGCGAGGUGAGGUGAGGCGUGUUCGCCGAGACGGUCCGGCCACAGUGAAAUAGUGAAAUAGUGGUGUAAUCGAUAAUAUGCGUGGCCAGUACGCGAGUGAGAUUGACCCUGUGCGCGACACCGAUUCAGAGACGCACAUAAGUUAACACCGUCGUGUCGGAUCGCUCGUACCGGUGCAGUGAUGGGAGACAGCGAGCAGCUGGAGCGUCUGAUGGCGCUCAUGGUUCAGCAGUCAGCAGGCUGCCAUGCUGGAGUAGCUCCUCCCCAGCCAGAUGCAGCUACUAGCUGCGCAAACUGUCUAGAGCGGCCAACCGGCUGUCGUCGCCUCCGCCGCUCCUAUGGCUAGACUUCGGUCUCGCAUGGACUGCCGUCGGUAGUGUUCACAUGCCAGCCCAUACAUUUUACCUGUAUUAACUUUUUAAUGUCUGUGUCUGCGUAACUAUUGUACGUGCCUGUACUUAACAGUGUUUGAAUUGUACAUCGUUCGCACAGUCUGUGGACCGUGGGGAGCGCCGCUUGACAUGCAUUUUUGCACUUACCUGCAUUCCGUGUUAAAAGUUAAGUAAAGGGACUGAGCUGUCGUGCACCGGGAGAUAUUAUGGUCUCUUGCUAAACGACUCAGUUGAAACUCAGCACGCCGGUCGGUACUGACUGGGGCGGCAAGCGAAAGGGUUUGGGCAGCUUUUGAAACAAAAUGUUCGCAUCGAAUGACAGCAUCGCAUGUUCUGUUCCAGAGUGAGUUUUUUGACAUCUGACACAAUAAAUAUACAUGCCUGUUCUU